rnacentral:lncRNA from 1 species
CUGGGCUCAAGAGAGCCUCUCGUCUUAGCCUCCUGAGUAGCUGGGACUCUAGGUUUGUGCCACGAGACCUGGUUAAUUUUUUAAAUUUUUUGUAGAGACCAGGUCUCCCUAUGUGGUCCUGGCUGGUCUCGAACUUGUGGGCACAAGUGAUCCUCUCACCUUGGCCUUCUAAAGUGCUGGGAUUACAGGUGUCAGCCACCACACACAGCCAAGCAGUUAUGUUUUAUAUAGAGAUCAUUAAAAAAAAAUCAUGUCUGUAGUAAGGUUGCGAUACGUUGUUUUGAUUGAAGUACACGAAGAAAAUCUGGCCUCACACAGACAUGUAGUUGGAAAAGGGGGGAACCUCAUGUUUAUGGGGACCUCCAGGACUAUACUUUGAGGAUGGCUGCAGAACAGCAGAUUUUCGUGAACCGCAAAUGCUGCUGUCUGCUGGUUUCUACUUGUCCUGUCUUUUUCCUGCGGAGCUCUGAAGAAAAGUAAAAAUGAAAUUUGCCUUCAGGCUGGAAGAACUUAGUAGUCACAGGAAAUGGUUCCUUCAAAAAAUCAAAGAAUCCAGGAGCUGGUUUUUUGAAAGGAUCAACAAAAUUGAUAGACCGCUAGCAAGACUAAUAAAGAAAAAAAGAGAGAAGAAUCAAAUAGACACAAUAAAAAAUGAUAAAGGGGAUAUCACCACUGAUCGCACAGAAAUGCAAACUACCAUAAGAGAAUACUACAAACACCUCUACGCAAAUAAACUAGAAAAUCUAGAAGAAAUGGAUACAUUCCUCGACACAUACACUCUCCCAAGACUAAAACAGGAAGAAGUUGAAUCUCUGAAUAGACCAAUAAGAGGCUCUGAAAUUGUGGCAAUAAUCAAUAGUUUACCAACCAAAAAGAGUCCAGGACCAGAUGGAUUCACAGCCGAAUUCUACCAGAGGUACAAGGAGGAACUGGUACCAUUCCUUCUGAAACUAUUCCAAUCAAUAGAAAAAGAGGGAAUCCUCCCUAACUCAUUUUAUGAGGCCAGCAUCAUUCUGAUACCAAAGCCGGGCAGAGACACAACCAAAAAAGAGAAUUUUAGACCAAUAUCCUUGAUGAACAUUGAUGCAAAAAUCCUCAAUAAAAUACUGGCAAACCGAAUCCAGCAGCACAUCAAAAAGCUUAUCCAUCAUGAUCAAGUGGGCUUCAUCCCUGGGAUGCAAGGCUGGUUCAAUAUACGCAAAUCAAUAAAUGUAAUCCAGCAUAUAAACAGAGCCAAAGACAAAAACCACAUGAUUAUCUCAAUAGAUGCAGAAAAAGCCUUUGACAAAAUUCAACAAGCUUCAUGCUAAAAACUCUCAAUAAAUUAGGUAUUGAUGGGACGUAUUUCAAAAUAAUAAGAGCUAUCUAUGACAAACCCACAGCCAAUAUCAUACUGAAUGGGCAAAAACUGGAAGCAUUCCCUUUGAAAACUGGCACAAGACAGGGAUGCCCUCUCUCACCGCUCCUAUUCAACAUAGUGUUGGAAGUUCUGGCCAGGGCAAUCAGGCAGGAGAAGGAAAUAAAGGGUAUUCAAUUAGGAAAAGAGGAAGUCAAAUUGUCCCUGUUUGCAGACGACAUGAUUGUUUAUCUAGAAAACCCCAUCAUCUCAGCCCAAAAUCUCCUUAAGCUGAUAAGCAACUUCAGCAAAGUCUCAGGAUACAAAAUCAAUGUACAAAAAUCACAAGCAUUCUUAUACACCAACAACAGACAAACAGAGAGCCAAAUCAUGAGUGAACUCCCAUUCACAAUUGCUUCAAAGAGAAUAAAAUACCUAGGAAUCCAACUUACAAGGGAUGUGAAGGACCUCUUCAAGGAGAACUACAAACCACUGCUCAAGGAAAUAAAAGAGGACACAAACAAAUGGAAGAACAUUCCAUGCUCAUGGGUAGGAAGAAUCAAUAUCGUGAAAAUGGCCAUACUGCCCAAGGUAAUUUACAGAUUCAAUGCCAUCCCCAUCAAGCUACCAAUGACUUUCUUCACAGAAUUGGAAAAAACUACUUUAAAGUUCAUAUGGAACCAAAAAAGAGCCCGCAUCGCCAAGUCAAUCCUAAGCCAAAAGAACAAAGCUGGAGGCAUCACACUACCUGACUUCAAACUAUACUACAAGGCUACAGUAACCAAAACAGCAUGGUACUGGUACCAAAACAGAGAUAUAGAUCAAUGGAACAGAACAGAGCCCUCAGAAAUAAUGCCACAUAUCUACAACUAUCUGAUCUUUGACAAACCUGAGAAAAACAAGCAAUGGGGAAAGGAUUCCCUAUUUAAUAAAUGGUGCUGGGAAAA